rnacentral:rRNA from 1 species
GACGAACGCUGGCGGCGUGCCUAAUACAUGCAAGUCGAGCGGACCACUUCGGUGGUCAGCGGCGGACGGGUGAGUAACACGUGGGCAACCUGCCUGUAAGACUGGGAUAACACCGGGAAACCGGUGCUAAUACCGGAUAAUCCUUUCCUUCACAUGAGGGAAAGCUGAAAGACGGUUUCGGCUGUCACUUACAGAUGGGCCCGCGGCGCAUUAGCUAGUUGGUGAGGUAACGGCUCACCAAGGCAACGAUGCGUAGCCGACCUGAGAGGGUGAUCGGCCACACUGGGACUGAGACACGGCCCAGACUCCGACGGGAGGCAGCAGUGGGGAAUUUUGCGCAAUGGGGGAAACCCUGACGUAGCAACGCCGCGUGAGUGAUGAAGGCCUUCGGGUCGUAAAGCUCUGUCAGAGGGGAAGAAGUGCAGGGGCGCUAAUAUCGCUUUUGCUUGACGGUACCCUCAAAGGAAGCACCGGCUAACUCCGUGCCAGCAGCCGCCGUAACAC